rnacentral:rRNA from 1 species
GCUGGCGGCACGCCUAACACAUGCAAGUCGAACGAAGUAGCAAUACUUAGUGGCAGACGGGUGAGUAACAUGUGGGUAUCUGCCCUUUGGCCUGGAAUAACACGAGGAAACUUGUGCUAAUACCGGAUAAGUCUUUACGGAGAAAGCUUUAUGCACCAUUGGAUGAGCCCGCACUUGAUUAGUUUGUUGGUGGGGUAAUGGCCUACCAAGACUGUGAUCAAUAGCUGAUUUGAGAGGAUGAUCAGCCACAUUGGGACUGAGACACGGCCCAAACUCCUACGGGAGGCAGCAGUGGGGAAUCUUGCACAAUGGAGGAAACUCUGAUGCAGCGAUGCCGCGUGAGUGAAGAAGGCCCUUGGGUUGUAAAGCUCUUUCGUCGGGGAAGAAAAUGACUGUACCCGAAUAAGAAGGUCCGGCUAACUUCGUGCCAGCAGCCGCGGUAAUACGAAGGGACCUAGCGUAGUUCGGAAUUACUGGGCUUAAAGAGUUCGUAGGUGGUUGAAAAAGUUAGUGGUGAAAUCCCAGAGCUUAACUCUGGAACUGCCAUUAAAACUUUUCAGCUAGAGUAUGAUAGAGGAAAGCAGAAUUUCUAGUGUAGAGGUGAAAUUCGUAGAUAUUAGAA